rnacentral:rRNA from 1 species
UACAGGGGGGGCAAGCGUUGUUCGGAAUUACUGGGCGUAAAGGGUCUGUAGGUGGCCAACUAAGUCAGACGUGAAAUCCCUCAGCUUAACUGGGGAACUGCGUCUGAUACUGGAUGGCUUGAGUGUGGGAGAGGAAUGCGGAAUUCCAGGUGUAGCGGUGAAAUGCGUAGAUAUCUGGAGGAACACCGGUGGCGAAGGCGGCAUUCUGGACCAUAACUGACACUGAGAGACGAAAGCCAGGGGGGCAAACGGG